rnacentral:tRNA from 1 species
GGAUGGGUGGCAGAGCGGUCGAAUGCGGCGGUCUUGAAAACCGUUAUGGGCGCAAGUCCAUCGGGGGUUCGAAUCCCUCCCCAUCCGCCA